UACGUAGGGGGCAAGCGUUGGUCCGGAAUCAUUGGGCGUAAAGAGCGUGUAGGCGGCUUGGUAAGUCCGCUGUGAAAGUCCAGGGCUCAACCCUGGAAUGCCGGUGGAAACUGUCAAGCUUGAGUCCGGAAGAGGCGAGUGGAAUUCCUGGUGUAGCGGUGAAAUGCGCAGAUAUCAGGAGGAACACCGGUGGCGAAGGCGGGUCUCUGGGCCGAUACUGACGCUGAGGAGCGAAAGCGUGGGGAGCGAACAGG
rnacentral:rRNA from 1 species